CAGCACCACAUCCUCGAUGUGCUGAUCACUGGGAUCCCGGCCCUGCAGACAGAGAAUGCCUUUCAGAAAGAAGCCCCCCUGCCAGAGCCUCUCACCAGAAAAUCUGCGCUGCCUUCUAGACCCUGGAUGGUUCCGGGGCGGCCCUGAGAAGAGAUGUAUGAAGAUGGAACCCAACAUCACCCUAUGCUUGUGCCAAGGACUCUUCUCCUUUCCCAGCUGAGCCCAGUCAUGUAGGACAUCACUUACUGGUUUCCCAGGGGGCCCUGGGGGCCCUGAUAGUCCUUCUGGUCCAGGAUCCCCCUGAAAACAAAAAUGGUAUAAAUCAUACCCUUACCCAGA